rnacentral:misc_RNA from 1 species
GAUGAAGAACGUAGCGAAAUGCGAUACGUAAUGUGAAUUGCAGAAUUCAGUGAAUCAUCGAGUCUUUGAACGCACAUUGCGCUCCCUGGUAUUCCGGGGGGCAUGCCUGUCCGAGCGUCAUUGCUGCCCUCAAGCACGGCUUGUGUGUUGGGCCUCCGUCCUCCUCCCGGGGGACGGGCCCGAAAGGCAGCGGCGGCACCGCGUCCGGUCCUCGAGCGUAUGGGGCUUCGUCACCCGCUCUUGUAGGCCCGGCCGGCGCUUGCCGACACAUCAAUCUUUUUUCCAGGUUGACCUCGGAUCAGGUAGGGAUACCCGCUGAACUUAAGCAUAUCAAUAAGCGGAGGA